ACUCCUACGGGAGGCAGUAGUGGGAAUAUUGGACAAUGGGGGAAACCCUGAUCCAGCCAUGCCGCGUGUGUGAAGAAGGCCUUCGGGUUGUAAAGCACUUUCAGCGAGGAGGAAAGGGUGUGUGCUAAUACCAUACAUCUGUGACGUUACUCGUAGAAGAAGCACCGGCUAACUCCGUGCCAGCAGCCGCGGUAAUACGGAGGGUGCGAGCGUUAAUCGGAAUUACUGGGCGUAAAGCGUGCGCAGGCGGUUUGUUAAGCGAGAUGUGAAAGCCCCGGCUCAAGCCUGGGAAUUGCAUUUGCGAACUGGCAAGCUAGAGUCUUGUAGAGGGGGGUAGAAUUGCAGGUGUAGCGGUGAAAUGCGUAGAGAUCUGAAGGAAUACCGGUGGCGAAGGCGGCCCCUGGCACAAAGACUGACGCUCAUGCACGAAAGCGUGGGGAGCAAACAA
rnacentral:rRNA from 1 species